rnacentral:lncRNA from 1 species
AUGAGAAAUUGCCCACCAAAACACUUGUCCAGAGGCAGCGUCAGACGAGAAGGGACACUCCUUGUGCCGCGGGGCAGGGAUGCCACCUGGUCCUCAGCGCACCAGGAAAGCACUCGGUGCUGUGGGAGCGCAGGCUUCCGCUGGUGGCUGCGAUGGAGACACCUGGGGGGCGUCGCCAGGAUUUUAUUUAAUACUCAGUCGGCUGCUGGGAAACAGGUGGCUGCAUCUCCGCUGGGGCCUGAGCCUCUCUUGGCAGCUGGGUGCUGCUGCAGGGGCUUGGAGUUUGCUUCGUCCUCCUGCUGUGGCGCUCUGCCUGCCCCUGGGUGCCGGCCUCAGCAGCUGAGCCUGAGCCUCCAGGAGAGAGUACUGCGAUUGGAUUCAGAAGCACAACAGCAAAUUGCUGACAACCUUUACAUACGCGUGUGUGUGUAAUGCAGCAGUACCGGUAUCUGUGCAUUGAUUAAAACAUCUAGGCUCCACUUAAGCUGAGUGGCCCAGGAUAAUGUUCAGCGAUGUUCUGGCACAACCAGAACUGCGCCUUAUUUUCUGUAAGUGGUGCUGUGAGCAUGAAAUGGCCUUUAUGAAAUGUUUUCUCUGUCAGGAGCUUUGAAGAGGCUUUUUAGUUGAGGUUGCAAGUCAGAUCUUCAUAUUUAUUAUCCUGAGAGAUUAAAAAAUAGAUGAAUUGUAAUAUUCUUUCUUCUUGGGUCAUUAUAUAGUACUCUCUCUACUUACUUAGGAGGGAGAUGCUUUUUUCAUCUUUUCUGAGACUGAAGCCAAAGGCUUUUUUUGCAAUAGAAACAUAGUCAGAAUGUCAUGACAGUGAUUUUUAAUAAAGUUAUAUACAGUAAAUAUAUUCUACCCA